GAACGACUCUGGCCAACGGAUAUCUCGGCUCCCGCAUCGAUGAAGAACGUAGCGAAAUGCGAUACUUGGUGUGAAUUGCAGAAUCCCGUGAACCAUCGAGUCUUUGAACGCAAGUUGCGCCCGAAGCCACUAGGCCGAGGGCACGUCUGCCUGGGCGU
rnacentral:rRNA from 1 species